AGUCUGAUUUUGUCAUCCCGAAGUUAUUGUGAAGGGUGGGAGAAGGAGAGGAACAGAUAUAACAAAUAUGUUUUGAGGAUUCUACCCCCCACCCUGAGCUGUCAAACCUCCUGAAAAAGCCAAACACACACAAAAGAGUAGACAGAAGAAGAGGAGGAAGGAAAAGAAGAACCUCUACUGUUGUCUGAUGGGGUGAAUGCCAGUUGUUACUUCAAACAGAAUCAGCAUUCCAGGAAUACAACUGUUAGAUUAUCCUUGACUCCCAGACAACUUCUGGCAGCCCAUGAGGAAGGAGCAGAGGCUAUUAAUGGUUCCUGCUGGCUGGAGGCUGCUGUUUUCAGUGGGACCUGGAGAGCCUACGAUGGAGAACAGCUGGACCUAGACUAAUUCAGUGACACAGAUAGAUCUGGAAACUCAGAGUUACAGGAAGGGAAGAUGUGGG